rnacentral:lncRNA from 1 species
AAGACCCCCCAGCGGAAAAAUGGCCAAAAAACGGGUGGGCUAUAGCCUUGGUGGGGGGCGUGGGCGAAGUUCUUCCGCCGGACUCGGAAUGGCCCCAGACUUUGCGGGCGGCCUCCGUGUGCCAAAAAUAGGCCACGGGCACAGCCGCGCCCAAAAAUCAGCCCCCGAAGGUCGGGGCGCCAAGACCCCCCAGCGGAAAAAUGGCCAAAAAACGGGUGGGCUAUAGCCUUGGUGGGGGGCGUGGGCGAACUUCGUCCGCCGGACUCGGAAUGGCCCCAGACUUUGCGAGCGACCUCCGUGUGCCAAAAAUAGGCCACGGGGAAAGCCGUGCCCAGAAAUGAGCCCCUGAAUGUCGGGGCGCCAAGACCCCCCAGCGGAAAAAUUGCCAAAAAACGGGUGGGCUAUAGCCUUGGUGGGGGGCGUGGGCGAACUUCGUCCGCCGGACUCGGAAUGGCCCCAGACUUUGCGGGCGACCUCCGUGUGCCAAAAAUAGGCCACGGGCAAAGCCGUGCCCAGAAAUGAGCCCCUGAAUGUCGGGGCGCCUAGACACCCCAGCGGAAAAAUUGCCAAAAAACGGGUGGGCUAUAGCCUUGGUGGGGGGCGUGGGCGAAGUUCGUCCGCCGGACUCGGAAUGGCCCCAGACUUUGCGGGCGGCCUCCGUGUGCCAAAAUUAGGCCACGGGCACAGCCGCGCCCAAAAAUCAGCCCCCGAAGGUCGGGGCGCCAAGACCCCCCAGCGGAAAAAUGGCCAAAAAACGGGUGGGCUAUAGCCUUGGUGGGGGGCGUGGUCGAAGUUCGUCCGCCGGACUCGGAAUGGCCCCAGACUUUGCGGGCGACCUCCGUGUGCCAAAAAUAGGCCACGGGCAAAGCCGUGCCCAAAAAUGAGCCCUGAAUGGCGGGGCGCCAAGACACCCCAGCGGAAAAAUUGCCAAAAAACGGGUGGGCUAUAGCCUUGGUGGGGGGCGUGGGCGAAGUUCGUCCGCCGGACUCGGAAUGGCCCCAGACUUUGCGGGCGGCCUCCGUGUGCCAAAAAUAGGCCACGGGCAAAGCCGUGCCCAGAAAUGAGCCCCUGAAUGUCGGGGCGCCAAGACACCCCAGCGGAAAAAUGGCCAAAAAACGGGUGGGCUAUAGCCUUGGUGGGGGGCGUGGGCGAAGUUCGUCCGCCGGACUCGGAAUGGCCCCAGACUUUGCGGGCGGCCUCCGUGUGCCAAAAUUAGGCCACGGGCACAGCCGUGCCCAGAAAUGAGCCCCUGAAUGUCGGGGCGCCAAGACACCCCAGCGGAAAAAUGGCCAAAAAACGGGUGGGCUAUAGCCUUGGUGGGGGGCGUGGGCGAAGUUCGUCCGCCGGACUCGGAAUGGCCCCAGACUUUGCG